rnacentral:lncRNA from 1 species
GGAUAGAUGCAUCGGAGGAGGGGAGAGGAGAGGAAAGUGGGAGGAGAGGCUGCACUCUAAACAGCCCUCUUGCCUGAGCAAUCUGACGCAGAGGCACAUGAGGAAUCAGCACGGAACCAUCGACCCACAGGGUUAAUCCCAAUGUCAAUACCUGCUAGAUGUCAGGGAUCCCCUGGGCUGCUGGCGAGCCAUUUGAAAUGACCCAUCUCCUGCCACCUUGGCCUGCUCCUCUGGGCCACCUCUCUCCACCUGCACUUGCUUACCGGAAGACGGCAAGGCCACCGGUGCACUUCGCAGUGCCAGGAGAAAGGCGCCUCAUGCUAUUAGCUCAAAUAAGGAAAAUCAUGCCGGGAAGAUUGAAUUUUCUGCAGACUUGUUUAACCUGGUGAUUUCUGAGCACUUGGCGCUGGCAGCCACGGGGGAGUGGGCUGCCAGCCGGCACUUUAUCAGCCACUUCUCAGGACUAUUCCUAAGCUUAUUAAAUCAGCAUGAGUCACUCCCUUGCCUUCCUCACAAGCAUGAAUCACGAAUCAUCAAAACCCAAGCAAAAUGCAUGACUCAAUAGUUUCUUCGGGGCCUAAAGGGGCUAGCGAGCUGGCGGUAGGGUGUUGUCAACCCGAGACCUCCCCCCACCAACAAGCAGUACUUUCCAGGGAAGGCAAGGGGGCUGCCACAGGGCAAAAAGAAGAGCUCAGAG